CAUAAGGCUUGAUUCAGGCCAAUUCCAGUGAGUCCAGAUUUUCUGACCCAGGCCAGCUAAUGUUUGUUCACUCUACCAAAAUGUGGGCCAAAGCAAGGAUCUGGCCAUGCAUAGUAUAAAUCAUAGUUAAUGUAUUUAACGGAUAUAAUGACAGCAGUCUAAGUCAUUACAGAUUGAUACUUUUCUAUUUAAGUCGAAAACAUUCAGUUUGGUUAUUUAACAAAUGUAUCCUGACUUGUUUUUCUAUACUGAGCUUAUUCACUAGAUAAACCAGACGUGAUUUGGACCAGAGCCCCCUUAAAAUCCAGUUUCCUUCUGAUUCACGUAGUCCGUGCAGGCCCGGAGCUACGGGGGGGUGUGGGGGGGUGUGACACCCCCCAGUAAUUGUAUUCAGUCGGCAGGACUGCUAUUCAGUCGGUAGGACUGCUAUUCAGUCGGUAGAACUGCUAUUUGGGUUAAAUAUUUUUGGCGCAAAGGGCAAGAACGUGGUGGGAAUUUUAGGAAAAUUUUGAG